rnacentral:piRNA from 1 species
UGAGAGGUGAACAGGUUUGACCCCACUUGA